rnacentral:rRNA from 1 species
UUGAACGCUGGCGACAUGCCUUACACAUGCAAGUCGAACGGCAGCACGGGUGCUUGCACCUGGUGGCGAGUGGCGAACGGGUGAGUAAUACAUCGGAACAUGUCCUGUAGUGGGGGAUAGCCCGGCGAAAGCCGGAUUAAUACCGCAUACGAUCUACGGAUGAAAGCGGGGGACCUCGGGCCUCGCGCUAUAGGGUUGGCCGAUGGCUGAUUAGCUAGUUGGUGGGGUAAAGGCCUACCAAGGCGACGAUCAGUAGCUGGUCUGAGAGGACGACCAGUCACACUGGGACUGAGACACGGCCCAGACUCCUACGGGAGGCAGCAGUGGGGAAUUUUGGACAAUGGGCGAAAGCCUGAUCCAGCAAUGCCGCGUGUGUGAAGAAGGCCUUCGGGUUGUAAAGCACUUUUGUCCGGAAAGAAAUCCUUGGCCCUAAUACGGUCGGGGGAUGACGGUACCGGAAGAAUAAGCACCGGCUAACUACGUG